CCGCACCCAAUCGCCUGCUUCUCGCCCCACGCCCACCCGACCCGCCAAACGAACCCUAACGCCCUUUCUCAUCCCCCUCCAUCCCCACAAGCCACCACACCCCUCCCUCUCUCCCUCAUCCUCUCCUCACCUGCAGCCGCCGGCCUUGUCUCUCCACUCGCCUCCUCCUCUCCUCUACCACGUCGUCGUUGAUCCACCGCCGACCUUCUCCUCUGCUUACCUCCUCCUGUCCUCUUCCAUGUUGCCGUCGAUCCAGAUCGGACGUAUCGUCGUGGGGGAGCAGCGCCGGCAGGGUCAUCGCGGUGCAGGUGUGGGGUAGGAUGCAACGACAAGGGGAAGGAGGAGGCCGGUGAGGAAGUCAAGCAACAACGGGUGGGGGUAAGGGGCAGGGUGAGGCCUCGCGCACCUGCCGGCGGCCGGCGGGUCGACUUGUCGCGCCACCGCGUCGUCGUCUCCUCUGCGCCAUGAGGUGCCACCUCUGCCUCCACCCCCCGCCGGGCAAGGAGCUCGAGGUGAACAUGCAGUGUGGGAAGGCGAGAGGAAGUAGGAGCUCAUGUCUCCUCCAAUGGAUGUCUCGUGCAUCUGGAGGACAAGGAGAACAACACGUGCCUGUUGGAGGUGGCUCGAGCGAUGCAGGCCAGCGGUGAACUAGAUCUGACAUAGAAGACCACGUUCCUCAGGGAUCCCAGAAUAUAUUAGACAAUAUGGUAGUCCAAUGCUUUUUUGAAGUAUAUAUUGACACUAUGCUGUAAAGGGACAUGAUAGGAAGUGAAGACUGCCAGUCAUCGCGCCAUAUUCCCGUGAGCUCCAUUCAUAUUACUAUAUGCUUAAAACGCCGUGCUCUCCUUCUCUACAUCAUGUGGUAGUUUGCUAUCAAACUCUCAAAAAGGAAAAACAACUUUACUCUGUUUUUUUGGAGAACCUUCCUGUAGAGUACCUCGACACAGACAAAUAUGCGAUCAAGGAUAUAUUCGAUGGAUUUUCACUCAAAACAUGGAGGAUAUUUUUUGUAGAUAGUUUGGUGCUCUCAUGGUUAUUUUGUAGUGAUUUUCCUUCCGUUCAUUACUUGGUAACCAUCUACUGCAGCUCAACUAUUGUCCAGUUGCUGACCUUAUGGUGAGUGAUUGAUGGUGCAUGUUUUCCUAUUAGUUUCUUUCUAUGCCAAUGUCUGAAUUUUACCUUGCCGUUUUGCAUUUCUCCAGGCCUUCCAUUCUCACUGUGAUUCCCCGAGAUGCGCUAUUAGUAGGCAUCCACUUCCUAAUAAAAAUCUGGCAGUCAACUUGAACGAGUCAUUUAUCUAGCUACAGCAACCUUCAUUGCUUUUGCAGUCAACUUGAACGAGUCUAUACCUGCUAAAUAUUUACACGUUAGUAUAGCCAGAAAGUCAGAUGAUCAUUCCAUGUUGGUUAGCCGUGAUAAAUCUAAUUUCUAGAGUAGCAGAUGAUUCGUGUCAGGUUUCUUUUAGAGAUUGAAAUAUGUCUUGACUCUAAAAUAAGUAGUACAACAUCCAGUUCUGCAUAGUUGAAAGCAUACUAUCUAAAACUGGACGGCCUUCUAAAGCUCUGAAACUACUAUUUGUUGUGUAAUCUGUAUCCCCUUUUCAUACUCUAUAUAUGCUUUCUACUUAGUAGAAAAAAAUGCGUGAGAACGAUGGCCCAGAGGAUGCGAAUUGCACUCAAAUAUAUGCAGGUUUCUUGCCAAACUAACUGCCACUAUUUUAUUUCAGGUGCUUCUUCUGUAACUUUUUAGCUGGCUCUUCUCAUUUCCUGGCGAACUUUUUAGUCUGUACAGUCGAAUCGUUGGAAGUUGUUUUCUACUAUCUAUAGAGGUUUUAUCCAAACUAUUAGUUGCCUGACUUGCUUUUUCGAAAUGCACCGUCCUGAUAGACCAAGUGGACCCACACAUUUCCAUGGGAUUUUAGAAAAAUAUAUAUGAAUUUGCAUACAUUUUCUAAAUUUCUAUCUUUUCUUAUCCAUGCUUCCCCAUAGAUAUAUAGCAGGCUCAACAAAAAUGAAUGUCCAAUUGUGUCCAAAUUUCAAGGAAGUGUGCUUCACGCUUCUCUUUCUACAAUAUGUUUCAGAGUAUAUGAUUUAAUUUUCCUACUUUCCCAGUUACAAUACUGUGUACUUCAUUCUUAGCUUUGCUUUGGGAAAAAUAGGUAUGCAAGUUAUCGAAAGCUCCAUUUUUCUCCAUUAUAUAGAUCAUAUAGCUUUGUGAUCGAAGGUAGGUUGUCACAUAUGGGAUGUUGCUUGUGAAAGUUAUAUACAGCCAUGAGUCCCUGGCAAAAUAAUCGCAGCUCAUGUUACUAGGAUCAGGGAACCUCGACCAUUUUUCUGAAACAUGUUGCAGCUCAUGUUCCUACUUUCCCAGCUACACUACUAUGUACUUCAUUCUUACCUUCGCUUUUGGAAGUUACAUUGCUUUCUUUUCCCUCAUAAACUUGCUAACGAUAUUGGCGAAGUAAUCCCGACUUCAGAUUUCCCAUUGAAUAAAUAACUAAUUUAGUUUGUUCAAAAAUUGUAGGUCAAGAUCCAUGAAUAGGAGCAAGGCAUCACACCAGCUCUGAGAAGAAAAGGAUAUGAAGAAAAAGAUAGAACAGUGUUCUGCUUCGAAGCAGAAACAUUUUGCGUGUAAUAAUGAACUGUAAUUUACCACAAUCUCUAAAACAGGCCUACCUAUUACCAGUCCGUUGCUUGCUUUUGUAUUAGGAUACAUUCACGUUGUUUAGUUAUGGUUUGUACAAAUGAAAUUACCUUUUUAAUCGAGCUUCAAAAUUCUUAUGUGCAGUGAAA